GGAAAAUACUGUCUCACUUUAAUUAAGUCUGAAUUUUAUCUUUAAGUCAAAAAGCUUAAAUAUUAUAGAAAGACGAGAAGACCCUAUAGAGUUUGAUUGAUUAGUAAAUUGAUUUUUGUAGGGCUUUAUUUGAAUAGGUUUACGGUUAAUUUUGUUGGGGUGACACUUGAAUUGAUUCAACUUCUUAUUGUUUACACAUGGAUUAAUGAGUGGGUGAUCCUGAUUUUUGGAUUAAAAGACUAAAUUACCUUAGGGAUAACAGCGUAAUUUUUUUAUAGAGUUCAUAUCGAUAAAAAAGAUUGCGACCUCGAUGUUGGAUUAAAGUUAAUUUCUGGUGCAGAAGCUAGAAUUUUG
rnacentral:rRNA from 1 species